CGCGGACACGCGUGGUGUGCGCGGUCCCCGUGCAGCCCGCCCUGCCGCAGGCUGCCCUCCACCCCCAGCCCCAGCUCCAGCCCCCAGCCCGUCCCCACUGCUCAUAUCCGAGCAGAUAGACCCCGGCCCCACCCUCCCGUGCUGAGCCUCCUUUCUGCCGGGAAGUUCGUCCGGGAGUCAAACAUCGCUGCCCUCCGGUUGCGCCACGGAGGGGGAGCCAGGAUAGGAAGCUGCCGUGAAAUCAGGAAGCUGAGCGCGCCGGGCCCCGGAUCCGAACAGAAAAGGCUUCCACCCGCUCCCCUGAGGGAUCCCACGCUGAGGGACUGAACCCCGCACCCCAGCCGCGCUCACCACCCCCACCCUCUCGCCUGGGCUGCUCUGACCUGGGGUGAGGAGGAGUUUCACUGCUGUCAUCAUCAUCUGACUCAGAACAGGAUCUUGAUCUUGGAG
rnacentral:lncRNA from 10 species